CUGAGUCCCUUGAAUUUCCAUAUGAAUAUUGGGAUCAGCUUGUCAACUUCUUCAAAACAGCCUACUAAGGAUUUGACAGAGAUUGUGCUGAACCUACAGGACAUCACUGCUAAGAAUGAGGCUAGGUAAAUGACAUGAAGAAAACAGUUAUCUAAAGUUAUUUUGACAGUGGACAUUCAUAGGCAUGUCCAAGUCCUUUUAGAAUGCACCAACCAGUUUCUCCUUUCUUCAGGGUGCAAAGGAAUCUAGUCAAAGCAUGUUAAUUUUGGAGUCACUAAAUCUGAGUUCAAGUUCCAGCUCUGCUCCAUUCUAAUUAUGUGAUCUUGGAGACGGAAUCUCACUUUGUUGCCCAGGCUGGUGGUCUCUAACUCCUAGACUCAAGCAAUCCUCCCGCCUCAGCCUCCCAAAGUGCUGGGAUCACAGGUCUGAUUAUAAAAGGAGAAUUGGAGGCUCACCAAACAUCUGAAGAGCUUUCCAGAAGUUUGGUCACUUCUGAAUUAGAGAAGUUAAGACCCGAUCACCUACUAGUGCUGUGGGAAGGUUUUGCAGGUGAUACAUCACAGGGGCUCAUGAAUGUGUCUUAAGCUGGCUCAUUUAAGUGGAAUGUUUUCACAAGACCUCCUCCACUUGCUACCAUGUCCGGAAUUGGUGGGUUCUUGGUCUCACUUCAAGAAUGAAGCCGCAGACCCUCGCGGGAGUGGCAAAUCAAAGGCAUUGCAGCCUCUUUCAUCACUGCCGAUUGCUGAUGCCAACCAUGUGCCAAGUGCUUAAUACAUCACCUUAAAUCUUCUCAUCCACCCUCAGAGACAUUCUUACUGAAAAGAAAGAACACCGAAAUUGACCUUACCCUGACAAGAUGAUGGCUGAAGGAUUUAUGAUCACUUAUAACAUUUGAAAUUGAGGCGGAACCUCAAGAAUAUGACUCUAGUGAAAGGUCCUAUUUGUGCUUUUGAUGUCUUUCACUUCGACAUUUACCAUAUGCCUAUUGGUAGGUUUGUCACACAGGACAGUUAAGGUGAUACAAGAAUAAACAAAACACUAUCCCUAUCCUUUAAUAUCAUUUAUUUAUGGGGUCAAUCAUAGUUUUUCGUUUUUCAAAAUCUUUGAUAAGUGUCAGAAUUGUGUUUUUUAAUAUUUUUACAGAAUUAUUACAAUAUAUGGUAGAGGAUGGAAGGCAAGGUAGUAUGAAACAGAAAAGAUAUUUUGAAUUAAGAUAUUUGGAACUGGAUUCAUAUUUUUGCUUUGGUCUUUAUUAGCUAAGUGAUCUUGGGAAUGUUCUUCUACUAAAAAAGAAUAAAGAUAACAAUUACUUCAUGAAAUUGCUGUAAAAAACACACAAUAAGUAUAUCCACACUCAACAGUGUAUGCUCAAAAAUUCAGAUCCUUUUUCCCUUACCUGCAAAUAAAGUCUUACAGUAAUACAGUGGGGGUAAAGGUUUAAACUGGGGGAUUCAAGAAGGGUUAUAGAAAGAGGUAGCAUUUUAAUAGGGGAAGGAGUGGAUCCAAGAAAUCAGAUCCAUUUUCUACAAAAAGAAAUGGGAAGACACAUAUUUCAAGAAGAAAAGUUUACAUGAUUGAAGACCCGAAGUUAGAAAUAGUGUUGUGUCUCAAUAGUAAGUUGGGAAUUGGGGUGGACACCGUUGUUGGAAGAAGGAUGGUUUCAGCAAAGACCCGAGAGUUAGGUGACAAUUUCAAUUUCAAGUGUUUGUGAAGAUAUGUGAACAAAAUUAUAAAGUAAUUAGGGUAUAAGAAAUAGGGAGGAGGGAAUGAAUUAACAUUUACGGAGUGUCUUGCAUGUUCCAAGCACUGUACUACUUGCCUCAUAAAACUUUUUUCAAUAAACGCCUACAACAAUCCUGA